AACCCGGUUGCUACAUACGAUUGG
rnacentral:siRNA from 1 species